UACGUAGGGGGCUAGCGUUGGUCCGGAUUUAUUGGGCGUAAAGGGUGUGUAGGCGGUUGUUUAAGUUUGGUGUGAAAUCUCCCGGCUCAACUGGGAGGGUGCGCCGAAUACUGAAUGACUUGGAGUGCGGGAGAGGAGAGUGGAAUUCCUGGUGUAGCGGUGAAAUGCGUAGAUAUCAGGAGGAACACCGGUGGUGUAGACGGCUCUCUGGACCGUAACUGACGCUGAGACGACGAAAGCGUGGGUAGCAAACAGG
rnacentral:rRNA from 1 species